CAAAGGGUUGACAAACAGGUUCUUAGGGCCCCCUUAAAUAGAUAUGUGUCACAACAGUUGUCUAACUACUCCGAGGAAGCUAGUAGGCAACUGUUCCGGAGUAGAGACGACAAGAGCAACCCUCUUCGCAGCUUUGUCAAGAAAAUCAAAAAGGGCUGCAAGAAGUUAGCGGCUAAGCUGAGCUGUGCAGACACGACAUAUGCGCCUCCGUUGCACCCCAUGUUGUCUAGGAGCCAGACGGCCUCGAUGUCCACCAGAGCUACUUCGGCUAGGGCCGCUUCCUCCUCUGUACGUACUCCGCAGUACACAGGGAAGGGUCCAGCGGACGUGGACGAUGAGGACGAGGCCCUUCAGUACUCCACGACUAGUGGCGACGACGACGACGACGAGUUACAGUGGGAGUUCACCGGUCACGAGGAGAUGGGUACCUCACAGCUAGGCGGUGCUCCUAUUGGUACACAGGGGGUGGAGUACACACAGGAGGAGUACACACAGGG